CUACCCCCACCUCCGCACCGACAGGGCUGGCCGAGGAACCUCCGCAGACCCUGGGACCACGCAGGUCGGUCACCCCGGGGCCUGGGACCGCAGUGGGGCGGUGCGCCGCGGGGUCUUGUGGGAGGUGCCCUGGGCUCGCUCGGCGCAGGCGCAGUGCUGCCGGGUGGCGGGCUUGGCGCAGGCCGGCGCGGGCCGGUGAGUCCGGACGGCCCUUCGCAUCGCCGCGGUUUCUCGCAGAGAGACUGCGGCUCACAGGGGCACCCUGGGUCAGCAGGAAGAUGGAGAUCAGAGUGCGGGUGCGAUGGAGGGACUUGAACCUCCAAAUCAGGGGCCUCGGGAGCUAUGGUCCUGAAAAGAAUAUUCUGCCGAGAUUUGGCUGUGGAGGGUGGGAACCUUCCAGGUACUCUAACGCACUCCAGCUGGCCCUACUUAUCUCCGACUGGGGUUAGUGGCAUCUGCCGCCCCAGUGGCUCCAGGACCCCUUUCUCUUUCCGAGUCCAAGUUUGGCUCCACAACCCUGUGCCGGCCGCUCGGGUCUGAGCGCGCCCCCAGGUCUGGCCCGCGAUCCCGCGUCUCCCCACAGAGGAGUGUGCCCCGGGGGCCUCCCCUCUUUGGUGCCUCAGGUCUCCUGCUUUGCCAUUCCUGUGUCCAGUGGUCCCUAGCCUGAGUUCCUGCAGCUCUGCCUCCUUAACUCCCUGACCUUGCCCAGGAGGAAGAAGAGAUGACCAGUUCCCAGGAACCUGUUACAUUCAAGGAUGUGGCCAUGGACUUCACUGAGGAGGAGUGGAGGCAACUAGACCCCACACAAAGGGCCCUACAUAAAGAGGUGAUGCUGGAAAUCUAUGACAACCUGGUCUUAGUGGCGAAGAAACUUGACGACUGUGCUGAAUGUGGGAAGAGCUUUAGUCGAAGCACAGAAAUUCGCUAUCAUCAGAGAAUUCAACCUGGAGAGAAACCUUUCAUAUGUGAUACGUGCGGCAAAGGCUUCAAUUAUAACACAAAUCUUCGUGUUCAUUGGAGAGUUCACACAGGAGAGAAACUUUUUUUUACCACCGUUUAUUUUAUUUUUGAGACAGAGCAUGAAUGGGGGAGAGUCAGAGAGAGAGAGGGAGACACAGAAUCUGAAGCAGGCUCCAGGCUCUGAGCUGUCAGCACAGAGCCUGACCCGGGUCUCGAACUCACAGACCGCGAGAUCAUGACCUGAGCCGAAGUCGGCCGCUCAACCAACUGAGCCACCCAGGCGCCCCAGGAGAGAAACCUUUUAAGUGUGAGUGUGGCAAGGGCUCCCCUCAGAGCUCCAACCUUUGCAUCCAUCAGAGAGUCCACACUGGAGAGAGACUCUACACAUGUGAUAAAUGUGGUAAGGCUUCAGGCAGAACAUAGAUCGCCAAGUGCAUCAGAGAGUCCACACAAACGUGAAACUCUGAAAACACAGACUUAUAUGCUCAUCUGAAAGUCCACAGAGGAGAGAAACUCAACAAGUGUGUGUGGUAAGAACUUCUUCAGUCAGAGCAUAGAUCUCCAAGUUUAUCAAAGAAUUCACACAGAGAAACCAUUAGAUAGGAUAGAUGCUGUAAGAGUUUGUUACCUUCAUCUUCAUCAGAUCCCACGUGGGAGACAAACCCUACAGGUGUGGGACGUGUGGUCAGAACUUCUAUUAGAGUGCAUCCCUCCCCCUUUACCAGAGUCUGUUUCUGCAACAAUUCUGUGAGCCCCAUGAGCGUCUCGUUACACAUGCUUUGCUCACCAUUUUGUGCCCAGCUCCUGACAUACUGCCUGGUACAAGUAGCUAUUCAACAAAUAUCUCUUGAAUGCAGAUCCACUUGGGAGAGAACCCCUUUAAGUGUGAUGUGCCCUAAAGACUUCACAGUCCACACAUUGAAAUACCGCACGGUAAAGAUUUCAGUCAGAUCAUGGGUUUCAUCGUUAGUUAAUCCCUGCAGGGGAGAAGUCCUGUCAAACUGAUGAAUAUACUAAUGGACUUGAGAUAAUAUUCAUGUUAUUAAAUCGCUAUGGUAAAUUUAUAUGCCUUCAACAUAAGAAUUCUCACCCCUAAACUAUCAAUUGUAAAAAUACUUUUGUCAAAACUCAUGCUAAAACAUGUAUCUAUUGUAUUAUUCAGGAAAAAUCCUGUGACAUGAAAUUAUGUGUCAAGCUCUGGACUGACAAGCUCCACAGAAGGUUGAUUCCAUCACAAAGAGGUUUAUGUUAGACAUAACCAAUAAGUAACCCAGCACCCGUGCCAAACAAGGUUUUCCUCCUGGAAAGAUGCCCCUUACCUGGCAGAGGCCCUUCUAGACUGAAAGCCUCCUGGCUCUAAUUGAGCAUCUUCCCGUCCAUCAUGUCACCAGGCUUCUGGGUGCCUUGCACCAUGGAUUAUAGAAGUCUCCAGCCACUGCCUUCAUGCUGUGAAUUCUUCACUCAUUGAAUUCUGUUGAAUUCCCCUGAUUGAUUGCUGGGUUGAAUGAAUAUUGAGUGGGAAAGAGAGGCCCCGAGGGACGGACGGAGGGCUUUAGGAAAGAGGAGGAAGAGGAGGAAGAGUCCAAACUAGGUAAAGAUUAUAAAGAUUAUAAACUGGUGAGAGUAUUUGCAAUCCAUAUCACAAAGGGACUCAUCUCCCUAUUUAUGAAGAGCUCUUAGAAAUCAAGCAAAGCAUUAAAAAAUGUGAAGAGAUUAAGGGCCAUUUAUAUUAUCUCUAAAAUGUACAGAGGUGUCAGACUUUUCUAAUAUGAGAAAUGCAAAUCUAAACCAUGCUAAGAUACCAUUUCUCACUUAACAGAUUUGCAGAAAAUUGAAAAGUUAAAUUCAUUGUUAAUGAGGCUUUAGAGACACAGGCAUAUCUCAUGCAUUGCUGUGGGGAUUAUAAAAUAGAACUCCUAGGGAGGGGAAUUUGAUAGUAUCUACCAAAACUACAGAUACUUUUACCUUUUCCCCAGAUAUCCCAUUUCUGAGAAUUUAUCCCACAGAUACACCUGCAUGUGUGCUUUGAAAAUAUCUGGCAUUGUUUCCAGUAGUAACAAAUGGAAACCACCACAAAUGUCCGCCAAUAGAGGACUGGUUUAAUAGACUAUUCUGUGGACGUACAGUGUGCAGCUGUAAUGAAAAGGAACGUCUCGUGCUGAAAUGGAAAGAUCUCCAAGAUAGAACAUGAAAUGAAUACAAGGUGAAGAACAAUGUGCAUAUAUGCAUGUAUAUUUAAAUAUAUAAAAUAAACUAUAUAAUAUAAUUUUAUAUACUAUAUUAAAAACAAUGAGUAUA